UACGUAGGUGGCAAGCGUUGUCCGGAAUUAUUGGGCGUAAAGGGCGUGUAGGUGGGUUUUUAAGUCGUGUGUCUAAGUGCGAGGCUCAACUUCGUAUGGGCGCAGGAAACUGAAAAUCUUGAGUGCGGGAGAGGAAAGUGGAAUUCCCAGUGUAGCGGUGAAAUGCGUAGAUAUCGGAAGGAACAUCAGUGGCGAAAGCGACUUCCUGGACCAAUACUGACGCUCAUGUGCGAAAGCGUGGGGAGCAAACAGG
rnacentral:rRNA from 1 species